GCUAGUAAUGGCAGGUCAGCAUACUGCCGUGAAUACGUUCCCGGGCCUUGUACACACCGCCCGUCACACCAUGAGAGUUGGGGAUACCCGAAGCCUGUGAGCUAACUUAACGGAGGCAGCAGUCGAAGGUAGAAUCAAUGAUUGGGGUGAAGUCGUAACAAGGUAUC
rnacentral:rRNA from 1 species